AUUAAUUUAUAUGCGAUAGAAAUAUUAUUUCUAUUAUUUACUAGAAGUCGAGAAAUUAUUCCGACUGCAACGCAGAUUAAAUAUACGGAUUUAAUCUAGAUAUUAAAUGGCUUGUGAAGUGAAUUAAAUCUACUUAUUUAAUUUAUACAUGAAUAAUGAGCAUAAGCCAAUAUUUGAUUGCAAACACGCGAUUAAAUAGUAGAUGCACUGAGUAACCAAGACACAAAGAUUUAUUAUUAUUUACAAUUAGAACUUCAACCACCACUAUCAAUCAAUGCAGUAAUUGAUUUUUUUUCUGAGUACAAGAAGAAAUCUUUGCAUAUAAGCUCACCACUGGCAGCAAGAGUGACGCAGUACAUUUGGGUAAAAAAAUAAAACUCUCGAAUUUGCUGGCUUUAGGAGGAAGAUCAUGCUUAAGACAAUCAUCUUCCACUAUCUAAUUAUUUAUCAACCACUACCUCCACUUAACAAAAAUGAGACCUACGCACUAGCCUGCACCACCACCCUUUUUCUCCACCAAACUUUCCACUUACUUCAUUCCUUCUCUCAUACACCAAGCACCAGAAAGGGAGAUGAAGUUCCUGCUGCCAACUGCCAAGUAUCGAGAGUUUCUUCUCCAUUGAAUUCAUUAUCAACAACAGCAGCUACCAACACAAAAUACUCAAGGUCAAGCGCGAGAGUAAGAACUACACAAGGAGUUAGAGUACCUUAGCAAAACUUUGCUAUCAGGUUGAGCUGUGAUGGGCGAUGAAGUGUUGUUGCUGAGUAGAGUUUUUGUCGAAUUUAAAGUAGGCUCAGAAAGGAUACAUGUCUUCAUACAUGUAUCUCAGUUAUGCAUUCCGCUGUAAACACUGAUUAUUUCAGUUACACCUUCCGUUGCAAACUCUGAUAAUGUUUUAGCCAAGCCCCUAAAAAUGCCUUUUUCCUUUUAAGGAAUAUAACGCGUAUACAAGUUCUUUGA